GGUUGAUCCUGCCAGUAGUCAUAUGCUUGUCUCAAAGACUAAGCCAUGCAUGUCUAAGUAUAAACAGAUUUAUACUGCGAAACUGCGAACGGCUCAUUAUAUCAGUUAUAAUCUACUUGAAUAUAAAAAUUACUUGGAUAACCGUUGUAAUUCAAGGGCUAAUACAUGCAAAGAGGUAUGACUGGUGACGGAAAUACUGUAUUUAUUAGAUCCAAAAUCAAUAGGUAGAAAUACUUAAAAUAAUUGAUGAUCCAUAAUAAUUAAAUGAAGCGUAAUAAUAUUACGCUAUUACA
rnacentral:rRNA from 1 species